CCAGACUCCUACGGGAGGCAGCAGUGGGGGAUAUUGCACAAUGGGGGGAACCCUGAUGCAGCGACGCCGCGUGGGUGAAGAAGCGCCUCGGCGCGUAAAGCCCUGUCAGCAGGGAAGAAAAUGACGGUACCUGAAGAAGAAGCCCCGGCUAACUACGUGCCAGCAGCCGCGGUAAUACGUAGGGGGCAAGCGUUAUCCGGAUUUACUGGGUGUAAAGGGAGCGUAGACGGCAGUGCAAGUCUGAAGUGAAAGGCGGGGGCCCAGCCCCCGGACUGCUUUGGAAACUGGGCUGCUGGAGUGCAGGAGAGGCAAGUGGAAUUCCUAGUGUAGCGGUGAAAUGCGUAGAUAUUAGGAGGAACACCAGUGGCGAAGGCGGCUUGCUGGACUGUAACUGACGUUGAGGCUCGAAAGCGUGGGGAGCAAACAGGAGUAGAUGC
rnacentral:rRNA from 1 species